rnacentral:rRNA from 1 species
UGGGGAAUAUUGCGCAAUGGGGGGAACCCUGACGCAGCAACGCCGCGUGAAGGAUGAAGGCUUUCGGGUUGUAAACUUCUUUGAUGAGGGACGAAAGAAAUGACGGUACCUCAAAAACAAGCCACGGCUAACUACGUGCCAGCAGCCGCGGUAAUACGUAGGUGGCGAGCGUUGUCCGGAAUUACUGGGUGUAAAGGGCGUGUAGGCGGGGAUGCAAGUCAGAUGUGAAAUGCCGGGGCUUAACUCCGGAGCUGCAUCUGAAACUGUGUUUCUUGAGUGUCGGAGAGGAAAGCGGAAUUCCCAGUGUAGCGGUGAAAUGCGUAGAUAUUGGGAGGAACACCAGUGGCGAAGGCGGCUUUCUGGACGAUAACUGACGCUGAGGCGCGAAAGCGUGGGGAGCAAACAGGAUUAGAUACCCUGGUAGUCCACGCCCUAAANGAUGUCAACUAGUUGUUGGGGAUUCAUUUCCUUAGUAACGUAGCUAACGCGUGAAGUUGACCGCCUGGGGAGUACGGUCGCAAGAUUAAAACUCAAAGGAAUUGAC